UCAUCGGUGAAAAGAGGGAAUUCCGGAAGGAAGAGUUGUUGAGUAAAGCCGUAUCAGCGUAACGUGUUUAACGACGUCGUGGUGGUAAAAUCUUGGCACGAUCUUGGGGCACACCUCGAGAGGGGAGGGAAAAAAAAAAGGGCCCCCGUUACUUGUGAAAUACGCGUGUUCCUCAUCGCCAUUGUGCGUCGACUUGCUAUCAACCGGUCUGAUAUUUAUCGUCGUAUACCUCGUGUCGGCGGUUAUUCAAUUCAACGGUGCAGGGGAACACGUGCAACGUUUAAUUACCAUCCUACGCGCUCUUAUUGUUGGAAACGUGGUGUCAACGAGGCUGAAACGAUUGAAUGACUUGUCAAUACGGGGAGAAUUAAAUCGGCGGACUUUCCUUUACUCGUACAUUAUCUUCGAAAGGCAGUCGUUUACCGAACGAAGACGUCACUCGAGUUGGACGCGUGCGGGAACGAAUAUUCUCGCGCGGACAGACGGUUUUCCCUGUUGCACGAGACGUACGAUAAUAGCACACGCAUCUCGCGUUAUUCUGGUAGCGAAACUGUGUCGUGUCUCGACGUGUCGUUACAACUGGAAAGUCACGAGUUUCAGGACACUCGAUGAAUGUGAAACUGCUUUGUAUAGAAUCUGUUAUAUAGGGGAUAUUGUACGUACAAGUUUUCAACGUUCUGCAUUUGCACAAUUAUGAAGUGAUAUUAUAUACAUGUCGAUUCAUUGAUAAAAUCUUGUUAAUUCAUUGAUAUUAUUAUUAUUAUUAUUAUGCGAUAAAAGUAAUUUGUAAUUUUGUAAUAUAAGGAUAUAUGAUAAAAACGUUUCUAUAAAAGAUUUAAAUUAUAAAUAAUCUGAUUGAUUUAAAAAAAAAAAAAAAUGUCAGACUAUUAU